rnacentral:rRNA from 1 species
UACGUAGGGGGCAAGCGUUGUCCGGAUUUAUUGGGCGUAAAGAGCGUGUAGGCGGUUUGGUAGGUCCGCUGUGAAAACUCGAGCUCAACCUCGAGACGCCGGUGGAAACCAUCAGACUAGAGUCCGGAAGAGGCGAGUGGAAUUCCUGGUGUAGCGGUGGAAUGCGCAGAUAUCAGGAGGAACACCGAUGGCGAAGGCAGAUCUCUGGGCCGUAACUGACGCUGAGGAGCGAAAGCAUGGGGGAGCGAACAGG